UAAAGUUGAAUGGCUGCGUUCUAACGCG
rnacentral:piRNA from 1 species